rnacentral:lncRNA from 1 species
AUGGAAUCAGCACUGUGUGUGCCUGGAGCCGGGGCUGGGACCCAUCCCUGCGUGUCAGCAGCUGAACCCACAGCAGUGAAACUGUCCCCACUCUGCAGUCACGGAAUGAGAUCCUGCACACUGCAAAACCGCUUGGACAGCCGGAGCAACACAGCGGACCCGAAACCCGCGAGUGAACAAGGGCGGCCGGGGAUUUCUCAGCACAAACAAACGGCGGUCACGGCUCUCACCCAGCUCCCGGGAAAACGCCGCUGCUCCCGGUGGGGUCAUGCUAGUGGGGCAGCGCAGGAACCGCGGCUGCCGUGCGAACCCCGCCGGGGCUGGAGGCGCACCCGGCCCCCGGUGGAAGGCCCUGCCUUGAACGGAGCAGCCCGACCCCGGUACCGGCUCCCAGUUCCUCAUUCCGUGCCCAGCGGCCAUUUAUGGACAGCCCUUACGCGCCGGAGGCACGGCCGACCCCGGGACGCGUCGGGCCGGGCGAUCCCCUGCACGGCCCCUCGGAGCGAGCCCCGGGCGCCGGGCACGGCCCACCGGGUACGGCCCGCCGGGCACCGCGUACCGGGCACGGCCCCCGGGCGCCUCCCCAGCCCCUCCGGGAAGCCCGGGCCGCCGCGCCCCGCCCUCGCUGCACGCGCUCCGCUCCGGGACGGCCCCACCGGGGGCGGCGGCUCCCCCGGCCUUCGGAAGGUCGCGCAAGGGCACGCGGGGCCCCGCUCCCGCCCCCCGGCCGCGCCCGGCCCUGCCCGCCGCUCCGCACCCCCUCCCGCCGCUGCCGCCGUACCGGGCUCGCUCGCUCCGCGCUGCGCUGCCAACGCCGCGGAUCCGCCCAGGCCCCGCGCGCCCCCGCACUUCCGGGACACGCCCGGCACUUCCCGUUACUCGGCCCCGCGCCGCCGCCGCGCUUCCGGCCGCGGGCCGCGCGCUGAUUGGCCCGGGGGACGCGCGCGCGGCCGGGGCGGGGCCGGCAGAGUGGGGCGGGGCCGGGGCGGAGCCGGCAGGGCGGGGCACGCGGGGAUCCGGACCCGGAGAGCGGCCCGGGAGCAAGAACGGGACCAGCGGGGCAGGACGGGACCGGGACACGGAGCAUCACGGUAUGUGAGGGAGCGGGACAUGCGCGGGCCCGGCGCGGCAAGGCAGCAACCACAGCUCUAG